rnacentral:rRNA from 1 species
GCUUAGAGUUUGAUCCUGGCUCAGGAUGAACGCUGGCGGUAUGCUUAACACAUGCAAGUCGAACGGAGUACAUUGUACUUAGUGGCGGACGGGUGAGUAACGCGUGAGAAUCUGCCUUCAGGAUGGGGAUAACAGUGGGAAACCAAUGCUAAUACCCAAUGAGCCGAGAGGUAAAAAAUUUAUUGCCUGAAGAGGAGCUCGCGUCCGAUUAGUUAGUUGGUGGGGUAAAGGCCUACCAGGGCGGCGAUCGGUAACUGGUCUGAGAGGACGAUCGGUCACACUGGGACUGAGACACGGCCCAGACUCCUACGGGAGGCAGCAGUGGGGAAUUUUCCGCAAUGGGCGCAUGCCUGACGGAGCAAUACCGCGUGAGGGAGGAAGGCCUUUGGGUUGUAAACCUCUUUUCUUAAGGAAGAAGCUCUGACGGUACUUAAGGAAUCAGCAUCGGCUAACUCCGUGCCAGCAGCCGCGGUAAUACGGAGGAUGCAAGCGUUAUCCGGAAUUAUUGGGCGUAAAGCGUCCGUAGGCGGCAUUAUAAGUCUGCUGUCAAAGACCGCAGCUCAACUGCGGAGAGGCAGUGGAAACUGUAAAGCUAGAGUCUGGUAGGGGUAGAGGGAAUUCCCAGUGUAGCGGUGAAAUGCGUAGAGAUUGGGAAGAACACCAGUGGCGAAAGCGCUCUGCUGGGCCAGAACUGACGCUGAGGGACGAAAGCUAGGGGAGCGAAAGGGAUUAGAUACCCCUGUAGUC